AGCUUUGCGCAGUGGCAGCAUCAUAGCCAAUGAGGUUUAUCUGAGGCACGAUUAUUGCUAAUUGAAAAAACUUCCAAUUUCAC
rnacentral:snRNA from 1 species